ACUCCCCUGAAACCUCGACCCCUUUACAUAAGGUGCUGUACAAUGCAGAUUGAAGAGAGAUCCCUCUCUUGAAACCUCAGCAGACAACACAGGCAAAAGUUGAAAGGGUGAGCAGAAGCCCAGAGAGCUGGUAUGAGUAACUGCGCGGUCAUGCAGCAAGGCAGCAGCGCUGCCACGAGCACAGCGUCAGCCUCCUGGCUCCUCCUUCAGUGCUGUCCUGUUGGAUCCUGUCAGAAGGCUCCAUCUCGUCCCCAGAUCCUCAGAGUACAGCUUGAUCAUCUCUAGAAGGAUACCGGUUUGGAGCUCAGCAGUAUAAGUAAGGAUAAACACUAAUUCGUAGUUUCUAAUUUGCUUAAAAUAGCAUCAAAAGUGGCUUUUCCCAUUUUUAUUUACUGCUGCACUGGCAGGUACUGUACCACUGAGAGCUACCCUCAUGUUACAGCAUUGCUUGACAACACCACCAGCCUUGGCUUUUCCAGUCAGCAUCCCACAAAGCAACGCAAGCUGCUGGGUUGCAGAACGGUGACGUGAGAGCACACAACGGCCAAAGCCCCACGGGCAUGAACUGAGGCGACAGCUCCGAUUUUUGAGCCUGCUUGGGGUUCUGCCAUGGUUACAGGGCUCGCCUGCUUUACACACCUUCAUUGCAACUGAGGGUGUAAGUGGAGGGAAGCUGCAGGCAGUACUGCAGCCGUACCGAUGAAGCACGAGAUGCCCUCAGUACUGCCGGGCAGGGCGAGUGGCACUGAGCACGAGGUGCCCGAGCAGCGCGCUGCCGUCCCACCAGCGCUUCCCACCAGCGCUGACUUUGCUGCACUGCCACUGGAGGCCAAGUGCCCUGGAAUAAAACUGCCCCGUGUUUGCCUACCAGCACUGCUAUCAGCCUCCUAAUUGCACUGUAACCCGAGCCUGGUGACACAGGAUGUUUAUAGGGCUCGACGUUAUGCUGGUUCGUGACAAAGGCUUAUCACAUGAUGCCACAGCAUCAAAUCCUCGCUGCUUUAAAUCCUCACUGCAUUAAAUCCUCAUCUGGUCAUGGGAGCACAAAGAUGCCUGACCGAAGAGCAGAAUAUACAGCCCAAACUCUACCAAGCAUAUUUUUAAAGUACAGGGUGUAACUAAGUUAGGAUAUGUAUGUAUUUCCUGGUCAUGUCAGGAUAUAGGCUUAAAUUUCAGGUCUUGCAAAAAAAAUCUCUCUUCUGUGUUUCUUUAUUUAACAGCAGCAUUUACCCACUCAAAAACCCAGUGAUCAGACCAUCUGCAGAACCAAGGAGGCAGCGUACAGCUGCUGUGAGACGAAAUGCUCAGCCACAAUUACAGUUGUUCUGCAGCCAAUAAAUCCAUCUGUGGGUCUGAGCACGUACAUCCCAUCUCCCCGGGGCUGAUCAUCCAAAUGACAUCUGGCAGAAAGGCAUGAGCGGUGCUCGCAGAGGCCAUGUCUGGUUACAGCUGGAGGUGCAGGAGGGGUGUGCGGCGCCACCACUACUUCUUCCCAGGCUGGUUUCCUUCCAGCCACUGCAGCCUCGCAGCCAGACCUGCCCAGAGCUCCCCAGCACCACCCGGGCACUGCUCAGCUGCCACUCUACAGGAAUUUGGAUAAAGCAAACAGCGACUGACAGAGAAGCCAGAACUGAAGAUUUUACUGACAGGCGUGACAUGGUCGGCUUUUCUUAAAGUUACAUUAUCAGAUGAGGGCAUUACAACACCCUGACUUUUCUAGACCAAGAGCUCCUUAGGUAGCCCGCAGGGUUUGUGAGAAAGGAUAAAACUCACAGUGGGAAGGAAGCUCCAUUAACUCAUUCCUAUGAAAGGAACUAAACAACCUUCUUCUGAACACUGUUUUUACCUCUCGUUAUUAAUGGACCUUUGCUGCUUUGCUCAAAAUCUUUAUUGCUUAUUUCUCUUCCCUUCAAUUUUCUUCAGCUGUUAAGUGUUACGCCUGCUCUUCAAUAUGCCUUUCCUUACUGCUUCCUUUUCAGACUGCAAAAACGCUGAGAGAUUGCACUCCUGGACAUUUGUGCAACUGCGAAAACAAGUAAAAACCUCUUGCAAAAUUUACAAUGCAAUGCCAGGGUCAUGUAAAUAAAAUCUCCCAAAUAAUUGCCAGAUUUUA